ensembl:lncRNA
GCAAUGUGGUCUUAUGGUCUCGAGUGAUUGGUCUAUCUACCAGUAGCCGAUGUUUUGCUCCUCUGGUGUUUCUGCUAAUUCCUUUCUGUGCCCUUUCUGUGUCAUGUAUUGAGUCAAGUCCCUGUUCAUUUUACCCGCUAUGAUGCCUGAUGGGAGAUUCCAUGUUGCAAUGAGGCAGGUUAUUAGAUGGUAGUUGGAUGAGACUGGUCUUUUUGGGGGGAUACUUGGGGAUCAGGACUGUCCAGGCUUCAAUUAGGCAUUCUGGGUGUCUCAUCCAUUACCAGCUAGUUUAUUUGUGGUGCCAGAUGUUCAUGAAGUGCAAUACGCUUCUUUAGGCAGUAGGCAUAGAGAUCCAGUUGGGCCUGAUGCUGUCCAAAUCUUCAUGCUUGAGACCCUUUUUUGGAUGUCUGCCACUGUGAAGGUUACUGGAGCCUGUUCACGGAGGUUGCUAUGGUCUGUUCUUGAUCUACUAGCCACUGUUGUUAUGUGUUACAUCCUUCUCCCAUAUGCUUUUCCCAUAUUGCUUUAUCUCCAGCUUUGCUGGGGCUGCUGCUGCUGUUGUAUUGUUCCCUGGUUUAUUCUCCCAUCUUCUAUCUCUCUGGUAUACCCUCUUCAAGGGCAGGCCUCAGAUGUGGACAGCUUGUUGUACUUCUUGGGCAUUUCUUCUUCUUUUUUUUAUCACACCUGGAACUACUAUAGCUGGCUAACUUCCCACCACCAGUGCCAAAGACUUCACGCCCCAAGUACCUCAACAGCUACAGGCCGGUGGCUCUGACAUCCCACCUGAUGAAGACCCUGGAGUGGUUGGUCCUGGCUCAGCUUCGGCGCCUAAUAAGCUCAUCACUGGACCCACUUCAGUUUGCCUACCAGCCUGGCAUUGGAGCGGAUGAUGCCAUCAUUCACCUCCUACAUCGUUCCCUCGCUCACCUGGAGACCGCUGGAAGCACUGUGAGAAUCAUGUUCUUUGAUUUCUCCAGUGCCUUCAACACCAUUCUUCCCUUGGUUCUAAAGGACAAGCUGGUGAACUCUGGAGUGGACCAUCACCUCACUACCUGGAUCCUGGACUACCUCACCGACCGACCACAGUAUGUGAGGACUCAGGGCUGU